UUUCAGACUCUGGUAGUCAGAACAAAUUGGCUUUCCAAGAUGUCCACAUUUGACUCCUGGGAAGUGGUGAAUAUGUUAGAUUACAUGGAAAAGGGGAAUCUGCAGAUGGAUUAAGGCUGCCAAUCAGCCGACACUGAAAUAAGAUUAGCCUGGAUUAUCCAGGUGGGCCUAAUGUAAUCACAGUGUGCUUUUUUUAGAUUAAGGAGGAGUCAGAAGAGGGAGAACCAAACACAUCGCAGCAUGAAAAGAACUUGGCCUGGAGUUGUUGGCUUUGAAGAUGAAGAAAUGAGUCCAUGAGCCAAGGAAUGCAGUGCCAGAAGUUAGUCCUCCAUAAACAAGGAAGAGAAUCAUCACCAGCAACGGAAUCUGCUGCUGCUGCCAUCUUGAUCCUGGACUUCCAGUCUCCAGAACUGUUGGAAUCCUCUUGCUGGACAAGAGUUCCUGGCAGACGUGGUGCCCGAAAACAGGGACCUGAGAUCAGGGAUUUUGAUGACAUUUGGGUGAGUGGCUGCAGCGGUAAGUAUUGAAAGGCUUGAAAAGAUUUUGUAAAUACAAAGUUUUAAGAGUUUUUUGUAAAUACAAAGUUUUAGGAGCUUAUCAAGGUUACUAAGUG
rnacentral:lncRNA from 13 species